rnacentral:rRNA from 1 species
CUGGCUCAGAUUGAACGCUGGCGGAAUGCUUUACACAUGCAAGUCGAGCGGCAGCGCGGGGCAACCUGGCGGCGAGCGGCGAACGGGUGAGUAAUACAUCGGAACAUACCCAGUCGUGGGGGAUAACACUUCGAAAGAAGUGCUAAUACCGCAUACGUCCUGAGGGAGAAAGCGGGGGAUCUUCGGACCUCGCGCGAUUGGAGUGGCCGAUGUCAGAUUAGCUAGUUGGUGGGGUAAAGGCCUACCAAGGCGACGAUCUGUAGCUGGUCUGAGAGGACGACCAGCCACACUGGGACUGAGACACGGCCCAGACUCCUACGGGAGGCAGCAGUGGGGAAUUUUGGACAAUGGGGGCAACCCUGAUCCAGCCAUUCCGCGUGAGUGAAGAAGGCCUUCGGGUUGUAAAGCUCUUUCGGCAGGAACGAAACGGCGCGCUCUAACAUAGCGCGUUAAUGACGGUACCUGAAGAAGAAGCACCGGCUAACUACGUGCCAGCAGCCGCGGUAAUACGUAGGGUGCGAGCGUUAAUCGGAAUUACUGGGCGUAAAGCGUGCGCAGGC